UACGGGGGGGGCAAGCGUUGUUCGGAAUUACUGGGCGUAAAGGGCUCGUAGGUGGCCAACUAAGUCAGACGUGAAAUCCCUCAGCUUAACUGGGGAACUGCGUCUGAUACUGGAUGGCUUGAGUUUGGGAGAGGGAUGCGGAAUUCCAGGUGUAGCGGUGAAAUGCGUAGAUAUCUGGAGGAACACCGGUGGCGAAGGCGGCAUCCUGGACCAACACUGACACUGAGGAGCGAAAGCCAGGGGAGCAAACCGGGAGU
rnacentral:rRNA from 1 species